GGCUUGUGGUUCAGCAGUAGAGCACUUGCCUAGCAUGUGCAAGGCCCUGGGUUCGAUUCUCAGCACCA
rnacentral:tRNA from 1 species